rnacentral:rRNA from 1 species
AGAGUUUGAUCCUGGCUCAGGAUGAACGCUAGCGACAGGCCUAACACAUGCAAGUCGAGGGGCAACAUGGUAUCAGCUUGCUGAUACCGAUGGCGACCGGCGCACGGGUGAGUAACGCGUAUGUAAUCUACCUGUAACAGAGGGAUAACCCGGAGAAAUCCGGACUAAUACCUCAUAGCACAUAUUAUUCGCAUGAAUUUUAUGUUAAAGAGACUCGGUUACAGAUGAACAUGCGUUCCAUUAGCUGGUUGGCGGGGUCACGGCCCACCAAGGCAACGAUGGAUAGGGGUUCUGAGAGGAAGGUCCCCCACACUGGUACUGAGACACGGACCAGACUCCUACGGGAGGCAGCAGUGAGGAAUAUUGGUCAAUGGGCGGAAGCCUGAACCAGCCAAGUCGCGUGGAGGAAGACGGCCCUACGGGUUGUAAACUCCUUUUACCUGGGAAUAACGGGCGCUACGCGUAGCGCUGUGCAAGUACCGGGAGAAUAAGCAUCGGCUAAUUCCGUGCCAGCAGCCGCGGUAAUACGGAAGAUGCGAGCGUUAUCCGGAUUUAUUGGGUUUAAAGGGUGCGUAGGCGGAAGAAUAAGUCAGCGGUGAAAUGCUUCAGCUCAACUGGAGAAUUGCCGAUGAAACUGUUUUUCUAGAGUAUAAAAGAGGUAUGCGGAAUGCGUGGUGUAGCGGUGAAAUGCAUAGAUAUCACGCAGAACCCCGAUUGCGAAGGCAGCCUGCUAGGGUGCGACAGACGCUGAGGCACGAAAGCGUGGGUAUCGAACAGGAUUAGAUACCCUGGUAGUCCACGCAGUAAACGAUGAAUACUAACUGUUUGCGAUACAAUGUAAGCGGUACAGCGAAAGCGUUAAGUAUUCCACCUGGGGAGUACGCCGGCAACGGUGAAACUCAAAGGAAUUGACGGGGGCCCGCACAAGCGGAGGAACAUGUGGUUUAA